rnacentral:rRNA from 1 species
ACAAGCGGUGGAGCAUGUGGUUAAUUCGAUGCAACGCGAAGAACUUACCUGGGCUUGACAUCCCGGGAAUCCCUUGGAAACAAGGGAGUGCCCUUCGGGGAACCUGGAGACAGGUGCUGCAUGGCUGUCGUCAGCUCGUGUCGUGAGAUGUAGGGUUAAGUCCCGCAACGAGCGCAACCCUUGUCUUUAAUUGCCAUCAUUGAGUUGGGCACUUUAAAGAGACUGCCGGUGUCAAACCGGAGGAAGGUGGGGAUGACGUCAAGUCCUCAUGGCCUUUAUGACCAGGGCUACACACGUACUACAAUGGCCGGUACAAAGGGCAGCCACUCAGCGAUGAGGCGCUAAUCCCAUAAAGCCGGUCUCAGUCCGGAUCGCAGUCUGCAACUCGACUGCGUGAAGUUGGAAUCGCUAGUAAUCGUAGAUCAGCAUGCUACGGUGAAUACGUUCCCGGGCCUU